UGUAAGUUUUGUGCAGCUCAACCGACACAGAGGUGCUCCACUAUUCCUGUAGUUUCUCUCCCUUUGUGAUGGCCACAGCUGACCAGUUAGUGAAGGAGAUCUUCUCCUGGAUCACGCAGGGGUGAGGAGUGUGCAUCCCAGCUGGAGAAACUGGCAAAGAGGCUGGAGUCUGAUAAAAAGGAUCCACUCCUCUUAAAUGUAUUGGCGCCUCAACUGGAGUGAUAGGAUCACUCCAGGCAGAGUGAAAAAGUACACCCUCUUUUAUUUCUGGCAAUUUGUCCAUCAGGACAUGGAAAAAAUAAUGAAAUGUACCUCAGCAGACUGUCUUCUUAGUUAUUACAACAAGGGUGAAAAGCUGAAGGAGCUGAGUCCACUCAUGCAGAUUUUUCUGGAUUAAAAAGGAAAAGUAGCGUUCAGGUGUGUGUUAACACAAUGUUAAGAUGGAAAGACACCAGCAAUGACCUUGGAGAAGCAAAUGUUGCAGGUCAUCAGUCUGGGGAGGAUUAAAAGUCUGAGUCUGAACUACCUGGAGUCCCUCAUUCUGCAGAGAAAGAUGAUUCCCAAGUGGAAAACAUCUGAGACAACUGCCAAUCUUCCCUGGAGUAGACGUCUGUAAGGGAUUUAUGAUUAUUGAUUAUAAAUAUUUAUCAAAACUUAUAAUUAAAAAUCAUAAUUCAAAAGUAAUAAAUUUUAGCCAAAAAUCACUUGUCACAAAGAGACAUCAGAGAUGCAGUCUAGUGUUGUGAUCAUUGGAAUCCCAGCACUUAAUUACCGUAAAUUACAGAUCAUAAGCUGCUACUUUUUUCCAACACUUUGAACACAACAGUGCUGCUAAUGCAUGUUUUUUUUUUAUGCCGCCAAAAACAUGUUGCCUGGUAACAGUAGACCAAUCAAAUUAAUGAGUAGUUCAAAGAGGUCCAAUGAACUUGUGCGAUACAUCAAGAGCACUUUCACAAUUUUAAUUACUGGUAUCGUAAAUCAGACAUUUAUAUUCACCCUCAUCAACGUGGAAAAUAACCAACGGGUUUGAAAGGCUGGACUGCUGCGUGGUGAAGAGGACCAGGUGCGCUCAGGUGAGAGCGUCAACGAAGAGGCUGAAGAGACGAGAUCCUGAGGCUGAUCAGUUCGGACUCUGAAGAACAGGACUUUGAUGGUUUCAGUUCGCAGGAAGAAGAUGAAGAAGGCGAUCAAUGACCUUUGACCUGGUAGGCUGCAGUGUAAAUCAGUUAGGAGAUAUUGGACUGUUGUUCUUGCUCUGUUCAGUAAAAAAGCAUUAGCAACGUAAUUUGCUGAUAACGUACGUAUAUUUAAAGGUAGCCGUGUUACAGGCACUGUUGGAAAAAAAGCAUUUGCCAUACGGAUUAAAUGAAAUGUUAAAAAUCCUCACGUGUUAAUAUCUUUCUGUAUAAAUCAUAUUACAACGUGGGACAUCCAGUGCGACCUGUACAAAUACAAAAUUGGUUUUCUUUCUAAAAUCCGAGCUUUUAAUCAGGUGCGCUCUGUAGUCCGGAAUUUAUGGUAAUUACAAUUAAUUAAUUGUCAUUAAUAAUUUAUAAUUAUUAACCAAACCAAGCUAAAUGUCACUGUGUUGUCAACUGCUUUACUGAAUGGUGGGAAACACUAACCUUAUUUGACAGAUAAUCACUCUUACACAGAAUAAACACAAAUGCUGUCUAUCUAUGUGAAAAUUUAAUAAACCAAUAGUCUCUCUUA